rnacentral:lncRNA from 1 species
GGUGUUUUGUUAAAUUGUGGGAGGAAUUUCAGAAAGUGUUUAUUCAUCCAUUUGGAAGAGAAUCGACAAGAAAGGGAUAAGCUUCAACGGUGAGUUCACUAUAUCUUGUUUUUAUGUUUUCACCAUGGUUCAAAUGGCAACCAUGGUUAGAUAAGCAUGUAUCUAGGUUAUUUUUGCACCAUGGUUAUGUAAACACUGUAGAUAAGCAUGUAUCUAGGUAGUUGAUAUGGAGAAUAGGUUGGGGAAUGGCUCGUUCCAUUCCAUUUGUUGCUGUGGUGAUGGCUUGGAGCCGAUUAUGUGCUAUGUGUGUUUAUGUGUUUGUGUAAGAAAUAGGCACAAGUAAUCAUAAAUAUUUGUGAAAUUUAUAGGUUAAGUAAAAUGACAUAUAUUUUUUUAAUGGAUAAAGGUUGGAUGUCCAAAAAUAGAUUAUCAAACGAGUACGAAGUAGGAGUGGAGUCUUUCUUGCAGUUUGCCGUUAAAAAUGGGAAAAAUCCCAAUGCUAUGCCUUGUCCUUGUGUCAAGUGUGGCAAUCUACGCGAGAAGGAUGUCAAAACCAUAAGAGCGCAUCUCACAUAUAAUGGCAUGGAUUUAACAUACGUUAGUUGGAUUUUUCAUGGGGAGAGAAGUAGACCUAACACAAGCAAUAAAGAAGAAGAAGAGAGCAGUGUGGGUCAUGAUUUUUAUUCGGAUGAGCCAGUAGACAUGGUGCAUGAUGCAUAUGUUGACAAUCCAACUCAUUUUCAUAGACUGCUCGAGGAAGCUGAAAUGCCAUUAUAUUUUGGAUGUGAUGGUUUCACGAAGUUAUCUGC